AGGUAAUUAAAUUACCUUCGCUCUGUUAACCAUCUUUGUUGCAGUGCGAGAAUGAAAAAAGAAAACAAAACAGAGCAUUGUAACUGGCGAUUUCUGGUGUCGGUUUCCUUAUGUUUUCUUUCUGUUUUUUACAUACUAACAUGCAUCAUCUCAUUUUGCAGGGAAACGGGGAAGGGCAUCGAACAUACCUGAUUUUGAGAAGACGAAGGCGAAGACGAUGGUGGUGCUGGGUUCUUUGCUUCACCGUGUCCUCUGUUUCUGUUCGUGUAGCCUCUCCUCUCUCUCCCUUUUUCUCCUCUCUGCGUUCGGUUCUUCUUCUGGCUUUUAUAGCCAGAGGACGCGAGUGUUUUUGGUAAGCCGGCGUGCAUCACGGUGGCGAGGGUUGUCAGCCGCGAUACGCUCCCUUCUUGAUUUGGAAUCGGCUCCAUUAUCGCUGCCAACGUCUCCUUCCUUUAUUAUCACAGAAUACCAGCUGUUGCAGGCAAUGAAAUGGUGGAAACGGCGCUGCUUGGGUUUCUUUCAAUUUGGCCAUUGAAUGUUUUGCAGUUUUGUAAUCAAAUCCCCAACAAAAUUGUAAUUGGAUCCCUUAAUGUUAGCGCCUUUUCUAGUUU